CACAGUCAGUCUAAAAUGUUCAACCUUCAAACUGCUUGCCCAAGUGGAAACGUGGCUCCAUUCCAAACGAAAGAUACAACUACCUACGCGGCAUCUCUUGCUUUAAAUUUAGUAUCUUGACUUUCACGUAGUAGAGACGUUUGCAGCUUAACAGUGAGUCUGAAAUCGUAACCUACCGUAUUGUGCUUAGGAAGAAAGUUUGUUGCAUUGCGAAGUUAAUAACGUUAGCUCUGGUGUCAUAACACAACAGGGGCGAAUGACAAAGAAGAGACAGCCUCAGUCAGACGGAGACAUGUCCGCCAGUCCUAAUGACUCCUCAGAAGAGUCAGCGGUCGUUUUCCCACCAACUUACAUUAUUGUUCAAUUCUCAAAGCGUAUACGAGCAACAGCUUUGGUGUGGCUCGUGAAUAAAGUAUGUAGCAAGAGACUUGAUGGUGGAGCUGAACUUCUAGUAAGAAGACAGCCACAUCGCGACGGAGAGGGCGUGACCCUUCACGUUUCUGCUUCUAAAAUCAAGUUCUUGGAGGUGGCAGAGGAAUUAGAGCUGAAGAAACGUGACAGAUGCGGUCUGAUCAGAGAGUUUACAGUCAGUCAACUAGACGACUUCCUUGAGGAUGGAAUGCACGUGGAUGACUUGCUCACCACGGCAGAGAGGCAGUACAUCGUGAGACAUGAACUGGAGAACAUUCGAACCCUCAAAGAAGACGAUCAGGUGCCAGGGUACCCAGCUUUCCGUCUGUACGAGGGACAGUCCAUAGUUCAGAUGUGUCUUCAUUGGAAACUUGUGAAACGAAUGUAUCCCUUACACGAUAUGGAAGCACUGGAUAAACUAGGGAAGAAAUGGUACUGGGCAUUGUUUCAGAAACAACCAUUCGAGGAUAUCCGGUUAUAUUUUGGAGAAGCUGUGGCGUUAUACUUCACGUUCCUUGGCUUCUACACCACAGCCUUGUUAGUCCCGAUGUUCCUCGGAUUUCUACAACUAUUCCUGCCUACUGAGAGCAUUGCUUUCUUUUGCGUCUUUAACGUACUUUGGAUGACAGUAUUUUUAGAAGUAUGGAAGAGAAAAUGCAGUGAGCUAGCAUUUACAUGGGGCACCAUUGGUAUGACGAGUCUAGAUGAACCUCGUGCUAACUACCGGGGCGUAAUGGGCAUUGACGAGGUGACGGGUCGUUACCAGCCUCAGUUCCCUCGUUGGAAAACGAACGCCAGGUUAUACUGCGUCUCAUUGCCCAUUGUAUUUGUGUGUAUGGUCGGGGCAUUCUUUGUUAUGCUCGCCUCUUUCUGGGCAGAAGAACUUCUUUUAAACAUGAAGAAACAGCAAAGUUUGGAAGCUGGCGAGAUUGUGGUUCUGUUGCCAAGUAUAAUUUAUUCAGCUGUUGUGUUUAUAAUGAAUUCUUGUUACCGAAAGGUAGCAACAUGGCUUACGGAAUGGGAGAACCACCGGACUCAGUCGCAGUUCGACAGACAUCGCGUGACCAAGCUCGUUCUGUUUGAGUUCGUCAACAAUUUCAUGUCUCUGUUCUACAUAGCAUUUUAUGUCCAGGACAUGGAUAUGCUGAAAAAUCAAUUGGCUGUCAUGUUACUUAUUUUCCAAGCCAUAAACAACUUUCAAGAAGCUAUUCUGCCUCUUCUAAUAAAGUAUUACAACAAAAGAGUUACGAAGGCACUUAAAUUUGAUGCAAUACUUGGAAACAAAAAGACUGACGAAUCUGGUCGUAAAAAGAAGAGUCUUUCCGUGAACCACGAACCAAGUAGAGCAAUUCUAGAUUACAUUCCAGAGCUAGACAGUGAUGAUCCACGUAUAGAACUCGCGAUCUGCGAAGGAGAAAUGGAGGACUAUGAGGGAACAUACGAUGACUAUUUGGAAAUGUUCAUACAAUUUGGAUACGUGUUCUUAUUCUCGUCUGUGUACCCAAUGGCGGCUUUCUGGGCGGUAGCAAACAACAUUAUGGAAAUCAGGGCGGAUGCCUUCAAACUUUGUCGUCUGUACCGAAGACCAGUGGCGAAAAGAGUGAAGGACACUGGAGCCUGGCAGCGUGCGUUCGAAAUCGUGGGCGCGAUGUCCAUAAUGACGAACUGUAGUCUUCUCUGCAUGUCACCACAAUUGCGACGUCUCGCACCUACUAUGACGUCAGUGGAAUGGGUCCUCGUGUUCGUCGUUCUGGAACACAUGUUGCUUGGAAUCAGGCAUUUCCUUCACCUCGUGAUCCCCGACAGACCGGAGUGGGUGCGAGUAGCUCUAGCGAGGAUCAACCACUUGUCCAAACGAGCCCUUAAGAACGAGGUGAUGGAUUGGUGAUUUGUGUUGUGAUGUACCUUGUUUGACGGUGCACGAGACAAUUGAAUGACCAGACCGAUUCUACAGCAUGGUGUGUGUUUAUUGUCCCGAAACUUAAUAAACGUUAUCUUCUGGUUUCCGUUUGCUUUGUCAUCACAGCCCUCUAACAAUACGCAUUUCGUAAACUUUGUAUUUUUGUGCUCUUAACAAAAACGCAGAAAGAUCUUUCAAGAAUGCAACAAUUAGAACUGAACAAAGUUAACAGAAAUUUGUUCUUCCUACGUGUCUCUGCCUUAUCAUAACGGACUAACAUAUUGUUUGUAGCACAAGCCUCUGAAGAAGCUGAUGGUCCGCCUAUCUGAGAAUGCUGAAAAGUCGUCGCCAUAUUUUGCGAAGAUACAAAACUGUGCAUGGUUCACAUAAUUACAACAGCUGAAGCUUCCGUUUUGUUCUGACCGAAACAACAACAAGCUUUUACGCACAAUUUCUUCUUCAGUUGCAGUUGUUAACAAUUAAAUAGACAGGAACAGUUUCGGUGUAGGUUACACGCAAAGUAAUUUUACAUGCCGCCUGUAGUGAACCUUUCACAUAGAGUUCGUAAAUUUUGAGAAUUAAUACUUUUAAAAUCAUAUUUAUGUGAGACUGAGUUGCGUUAUCCCAGAUGUGAUUGCGAGUAAUUUAUUUAUUCGUGAUUUUUUGUUUUCACAGCUUUUUAAAUAAAUUGGCAAACCAAAUUCCAGUAUUCUUUUCUUCUUUACAAGUGUACGAAUAUACAGACGUCAUAUCUGUUUGUUGUAUUUCAUCUUGUCCACGCUACGACGUUCAUUAAGUAAGGUUUUCUUUCAUACUUUCGAAAUAAAGUGAGGUAUACUCAAUUAAGCACUACGCCGCACAGAAGUAUGGUACUUGAUAAAGAUUAAUUAUUAACUUUAUGCUUCGGCCGAUUUAGCCGUAAGGACUGAGGUCAGACAAUCAUCGGAUAGGAGGCCCCAAAAAUGGUCCGGACGUUUCGGCAAAAAAAUAUUUUUUUAUUACGCGAAUUAACCCUAGUUCUCGUACGUCGCAGAUUUGUUAGUCACUAUACUGACUGGAUGCGCGUAGCCUAUUUAGAGAACACUUAUUAGAAAUUAAUCAAAUUACUGGAAAAUUCUACGACGAAACGUGCCUUAAAUGUACCCAUUACAUUGUAAACAUAUGUAGUGAAGGGAUAUUAGUGAUACUUAACAUUGAACCAUGAUAUUACGUACAAUAAUAAAUAUUUAAAAAUAAAAACGUUAAUAAUCUC